rnacentral:rRNA from 1 species
UACAGAGGUCUCAAGCGUUGUUCGGAUUCAUUGGGCGUAAAGGGUGCGUAGGCGGCUUUCUAAGUCAGGGGGUGAAAAUCCUGGAGCUCAACUCCAGAACUGCCUUUGAUACUGGAGAGCUUGAGUCCGGAAGAGGUGAGUGGAACUCCGAGUGUAGAGGUGAAAUUCGUAGAUAUUCGGAAGAACACCAGUGGCGAAGGCGGCUCACUGGUCCGGUACUGACGCUGAGGUGGCGAAAAGCGUGGGGAGCAAACAGG